rnacentral:rRNA from 1 species
UUAGGCGGACGGGUGAGUAACGCGUGGGUAACCUGCCUCAUACAGGGGGAUAACAGUCGGAAACGAUUGCUAACACCGCAUAAUAUAGUGAAACCGCAUGAUUUUGCUAUCAAAUAUUUAUAGGUAUGAGAUGGGCCCGCGUCUGAUUAGCUAGUUGGUGGGGUAAAGGCCUACCAAGGCGACGAUCAGUAGCCGACCUGAGAGGGUGACCGGCCACAUUGGGACUGAGACACGGCCCAAACUCCUACGGGAGGCAGCAUG